ACAGAGGGCCAUCUUGGAGGCUGGCUACUACAGGAUUUCACUGUACAAGGAGGGCGAGCCAAUGGGGUCAGUAGGGGCUGAACUUCGGUGUUCUCAUGUAGGGCGGCAUCCUCACUGAGCCCCACACAGGCUGAAGACAGCUCUGCCAGCGUGCUCUGGCUGUCUCUUGGCUGUCCAUCUUGCCUUUCCUUCAAGGGACACCUGGGAGUCGCUCAGAGAGUAGGACCCUGGCAUCAACGGUUGCCGUCAUCAUAACCACCAGGCACUGCCCUUCGUGGUUUAUAAAGCGCCAGCAUCUCUGCUGGAAAACAUCGUGCAAGCACCAUGGCGGUUCUACAACGUACAGACGAGAGAAGAGGUGCAGAGACACGAAGUGACUCACCUGAGGCCACAGAGAAAAGGCUUGGCAGAACUGGACCUCUGGCUCCUGACCCGACAUUCUUUCCACUGCCCUGCCCAACCGCCAGCUCAGACCCAUGUCUCCUAACGCCCAUCACAAGCUUCAUUUCCGUCCUGAGCAGCUAGCAACGAGGCAGGGGGAGGCUGCGACCUAAUCCUGACUUGAACCUCAGCUGUGGGCGGGAACUCGUCUGGAGGCUCCACAGACAUACUCCCGGUAGUGGUGGGAAGAAGAAAUCAGAAACACCAAUUCCAAAGGUUACAUGCACCCCUCUGGUCACAGCAGCAUUAUUUACAACAGCCAAGAUAUGGAAGCAGCCCCGUGUCCAUCGGCAGAUGGAUGGAUAAAGAUGUUGUGUAUAUGUACAAAGCAACAUUACUCAGCCAUAAAAUGAAAAGAGCAAAACCUUGCCCUUUGCAACGACAUGAAUGGAGUUAGAGGGUAUGAUGCUAAAUGAAAUAAGUCAUACAAAGUCAA